UUCUGGUAAUCUAGUUCUACUUAGGAUCAUUUUGACAAAUUGACUUGUUCAUAUUUAAAAAUAUCUUUUACUAUCAUAAUUAAUACACUUCUGCUGUAAUUAUUAUGGUAUAUGUAAUUGUCUGGCUUAAGCUAACUUCUGGUGUUCAACAUCAAUUGAAAAAGACAAUUGUUUGCCAUAUUUGCAAGUACAAAUGUCAACGUGACCAAGCGAAGAUUAAAUUUUGAUUUUCAAUUCAUCAUGGUAGUUUGAUGUCAACACUGUUGUAUUCACCGGCUGAAGAGGGCUGUGAAAAUGUUUGGUGCCUAUGUGGUGGUUGAAUGGAAGUUAAGAAUACGAUGGGAAGAUGACGCUUUCACCUUGUUUGAUCCCUCAGUUGGAUUGGUUUGCCGAUAUGGUCGUUUGCAAAAGACGAUAAUGAAACACACAGUUUUUAUAUCGAUAUAAUUACCGCUGGUAAUGUCAAGUUGGGUAGAAGGGAGGGGGGUGUUCAUUCAGCAAUACGAAAAUAUGAAUGUGAUGCCGUCAAUGUCUAAUGCGCUAAAAUCUUGCUAAGAAUUUUUCUUUCAUGAUACUUUCUCCUCACACAUAGUGUGAAGUAUUUCGCCGGUUGGCCAUUCGGGGCAAUCAAAAAGUUAUUUAUUGCAACAAAAAGUAUAUUUCAUUCAUUGUUUUUCCAAUGAAUAAACUGAAAAAUACUUGCAUGGCUAUCGUGCUGACCUCUUUACUGGUGUGGCCUAAUUUUACCAUACAAGGUAAAAUAUAGUAAAUGGUGAUACAUUUCUUCUAUCGAAUGCUUUAUAUCUUUGUUUUCUACGUGCCGGUGUGAUGUGCCCUCUUCCACUAACUUUCGAAGCCAUCCUCUGACGCAAAACAAAGAGGAAAUGCCAGAAGUUGAAAAUUGAACUUCCUUGGGUCGUCUCGAAAUAACGAAUUGCGAUUAACACUUGCUGUGAAAAUUUAAAAUUUGUAAAGAAUUACUUCUGACGUCGUUUGAAGUUGACCUUCAUGCUAUAGAGUAUGCGAAACUGCGGAAAUUGAGAUGAUCUCGUCACGCGACACUGCAUAGCAGGACCAGGAUUUCAAAUUUUUUUCAUCAAAAAUUUUUUUGUUAACCAUUAAAAGAACAGGUUAUUUUUACUGUGA